rnacentral:lncRNA from 1 species
AACUUGUUGCAGUUUGAAGUAAAAAAUUUCCAAAAUGUAUACUCAACAAUAAUCAUUAAAAUGUUUGCAGCGUAAAAAUAUAAAUAAAUAAAAUAAACUGUCUUUCCUACCCAAGGUAUAAAAAUAUUCUUUUAUAUUUCCUCUAAAUGUCCCAAGUUUUUCCUUUGAGAUUUAUAGCCUCAUGCAUGUAGAAUUCAUUUUUGUCCGUGUUGUGAGGAAGGGAUCCAAUUUUAUUUUCCACUUGGAUAGUCAGUUAAUACCAACACUGUUUCCUCAUUGAUAUGUAAUUUCAUCUGUGUCAUCUAGCAAAUUUCCAUACACAUAUGAGUCUGUUUUUGGGCUUUGUCUUGCAUAUCAUUUAUUUACCUCUCUCCUCCCUAAAAAAGACCUUAUUUUCUUCGGGUAUAUCUUGGCUAUUCUUGGACCUUUAAUCUUCUAUGUAAAUUUAGAAUCAUUAUCACAUUCCUCAAAAAUGGCACUUGAGUACUGAUUGGAAGUACGUUAAAUUUAUAAAUCAAAUUGAGAUAUAUAGGCCCCCUGUCAAACAUAGUACACGUGUAUGAACAUGUAUAUUGAUUAGGUUUUCAGAAGAUUUCAAAAGGAUUUAUGGUUUUUUCCACAAAGAUUUUAUAUGUUUUUUAUGAUUUAAUCCAAUAUUUUUGGUUGGUUUUAUAAAUGAAAUCUUUUUUUUUUUUACUUUAUUUAUUUUAUUUAUUUUUCAAAUAAACUCUUCCCUCCAAUGUGGGGCUUGAACUCAUGACCCAAGAUCAAGAGUUACAUGCUCUACGAAUUGACAGCUAGGCACCUUCUAUAUGAAAUCAUUUUAAAAAUUAUAUUUGUAAGUAUUUAUGGCUAAUCUACAGAAAUGCAAGUAAUUUUUAUAUAUUUUUCUUAUACUGAGCCAUCUUACUAAAAUUUCUUAUUUUAAUAUAUUUUAGUUUCUUGGUGAAAAUUAUAUCAUCUACAAAUAAUGACAAUUUUAUUUAUAGCUUUCUAAUAUUCAAAAAUACUGCACUCUAGGAUAUCAGGGAAACAUUGAAUAGAAGUAAUGGUAACAGGCAUCCUUCCUUGUUCCUGAUAAAGGAAAUUAUGUUAAACUUUAAAGUGUGGUUUUGCGGGCACCUGGGUGGCUCAGUGGUUGGGCGUCUGCCUUCAGCUCAGGUCAUCAUCCCGGGGUCCUGGAAUCAAGUCCCAUAUCAGGCUCCCUGCAUGAAGCCUGCUUCUCCCUCUGCUUGUGUCUCUUCCUCUCUCUGUGUCUCUCAUGAAUAAAUAAAGAAAAUCUUAAACCAAAAAAAAAAUGUGGUUUUGCUACAGCUCUUGGUAGCUGUCCUUUAUGAGAUGAUACAGAUUCCCUUCUAUUUCUGUUUUUGUUUUUGUUGUUGUUGUUGUUGAACUUUAUUAAAAUGCUCCUGGUAGGUGUCUUUUAUCAGUUUAUGAAAGCCCUUUCUCUACUGGCUUGCUGAGAGUUAUUAUCAUGAUGGAUGUUGAGUUUUAUCAAACCUAUCUUAGGUCUCUUA